UGCGUAGGCGGUCUUUUAAGUUUGGUGUGAAAUCUCCCGGCUCAACCGGGAGGGUGCGCCGAAUACUGAGAGGCUAGAGUGUCGGAGAGGUAAGUGGAAUUCCUGGUGUAGCGGUGAAAUGCGUAGAUAUCAGGAGGAACACCGGUGGUGUAAACGGCUUACUGGACGAUAACUGACGCUGAAGCACGAAAGCGUGGGUAGCAAACAGGAUUAGAUACCCUGGUAGUCCACGCCCUAAACGAUGCAUAUUUGGUGUGGGCCAUUCAUUUGGUCUGUGCCGGAGCUAACGCGUUAAAUAUGCCGCCUGGGGAGUACAGUCGCAAGGCUGAA
rnacentral:rRNA from 1 species